UGUCUACUCCCUCCGUUCCAAAUUACUUGCUUUAGAUUUGUCUAGAUAUAGAGGUAUCUAGCACUAAAAUGAGUCUAGAUACAUCCAUAUCUAGACAAAUCUAAGACAAGUAAUUUGAAACGGAGGGAGUACAUG
rfam:Triticum urartu cultivar G1812 contig21807, whole genome shotgun sequence.